rfam:Schistosoma curassoni strain Dakar, Senegal genome assembly, scaffold: SCTD_scaffold0000792
AUCCAGUUGACGAGUCCUAAAUAGGACGAAACACGCGUCCUGGAU